AAACACACUCAAACAGGUAAUGAAAAACAGAUUCAAAGAGGUGAAAACAGAGUUAAAUGGGUAAAAAAAGACUCAAACUGAUAAAUACAGACUUAAACGGGUAAUGAAAAACAGAUUCAAAUGGUUAAAACACACUCAAACUGGUAAAUACAGACUUAAACAGGUAAUGAAAAACAGAUUCAAAGAGGUGAAAAGAGUUAAAUGAGUAAAAAAAGACUCAAACUGAUAAAUACAGACUUAAACGGGUAAUGAAAAACAGAUUCAAAUGGUUAAAACACUCAAACUGGUAAAUACAGACUUAUGAAAAACAAUUCAAAGAUGUAAAAACAGCUUCAAACAAGUAAAACACUUUCAAGCAGGUAAAAAAAAAAGACUCAAACUGGUAAAAACAGACUUAAACAAGUAACGAAAAAGAUUCAAAUGGGUAAAAACAGCAUCAAACAAGUAAAACACACUCAAAUAGGUAAAAAAGACAAACUGGUAAAUACAGACUUAAACAGGUAAUGAAAAACAGAGUCAAACAGGUCAUAUAAAAAGAUAUAAACUGGUAAAAAAAAACAGACUUAAAUUGGUAAAAACAGAAUCAACCUAGUAAGAAGCAGACUCAGACAAGUAAUGACAGACUCUAACAGGUUUAAACUGGUAAAAACAGACUCGAACCGGCUAUAACAGGCUUAAAAUGUAAAAAAAAAAAAAAAAAAAAAACCACAAACAGGUAAAAAAAAAAGAAAAAAAAAAAAAAGACUCAAACAGGUGAACACAGGCUCAAAACGAUAAAGAUAGACUCAAACACAGACAAAAAACAACAACAAAAACAGGUAGAUAGGUAAAAACUGACUUAAAUACAGGCUCAAACUGGUCAACACAGACUAAAAAAAACAAGUAAAUAAGCUCAAAAGACCGACUCAAACCAAUAAAAACAGUAAAA